UACGUAGGGUGCAAGCGUUAAUCGGAAUUAUUGGGCGUAAAGGGCGCGUAGGCGGCCAGGCAAGUGGAAGGUGAAAUCCCUCGGCUUAACCGAGGAACUGCCCUCCAAACUGCUUGGCUUGAGACCGGGAGAGGUGAGUGGAAUUCCCAGUGUAGCGGUGAAAUGCGUAGAUAUCAGGAAGAACACCCGUGGCGAAGGCGGCUCUCUGGGACGGUACUGACGCUGAGACGCGAAAGCGUGGGGAGCGAACAGG
rnacentral:rRNA from 1 species